GAUGAAGAACGUAGCGAAAUGCGAUAAGUAAUGUGAAUUGCAGAAUUCAGUGAAUCAUCGAAUCUUUGAACGCACAUUGCGCCCGCCAGUAUUCUGGCGGGCAUGCCUGUUCGAGCGUCAUUACAACCCUCAGGCCCCCGGGCCUGGCGUUGGGGAUCGGCGGAAGCCCCCUGCGGGCACAACGCCGUCCCCCAAAUACAGUGGCGGUCCCGCCGCAGCUUCCAUUGCGUAGUAGCUAGCACCUCGCAACUGGAGAGCGGCGCGGCCACGCCGUAAAACACCCAACUUCUGAAUGUUGACCUCGAAUCAGGUAGGAAUACCCGCUGAACUUAAGCAUAUCAAUAAGCGGAGGA
rnacentral:misc_RNA from 1 species